rnacentral:misc_RNA from 1 species
UAGAGCCUAAAAACUCUCCUAAACCCACUGUUAAUUAUACCUAUUUGUUGCUUCGGCGGGCAGUCCCAGGGCGGGACCCAGCCUGUAAUUUAUUUUAUAGGUGUCCGCCGACAGCACCCCAAACUCUUUUUUUUUUUCAGCUGUCUGAGUAUUAUAAAAAAAUAAAGUCA